UUUUGUUUGUUUUUUCGUAACAGUUUUUGCUGGUUUUUUAAUUUAACAAAUUUAUUGCCAGUUGUUACAGCAGAAGAGCAUCCCAGUACUGUGAACAGCAGUUCCCCAGCAGAAGAGCAUCCCAGCACUGUGAACAGCAGUUCCCCAGCAGAAGAGCAUCCCAGUACUGUGAACAGCAGUUCCCCAGCAGAAGAGCAUCCCAGCACUGUGAACAGCAGUUCCCCAGCAGAAGCACCCAGCCAGUCUCCUGUUCAUUCAUUGCCAGCUGCUCCAAAUGAGAAGUCCAACACCCUGAACAGCAGUUCCCCAAAGGAGGAGCCCAACCAGUUCCCUAUUUUUUUUGAUCUUGCAGUCAUUGUGGGAACUCCUUCCCGAGGGGACUGUGGACUCCCUGGAGAAUUCUACAUGGCAGAUAAGUAAUUUUCUUUACAAAGUGUCUAUUGGAAUUCUGUUAUAAUAAUAAGCCUGUGCUGUUUGGCCCUUUGCUCACUGGCAAGCCUUUCUGCUCUGUUCUUUGUAGGUUCCGAAAUUCGCAGGUCUAAAUAGGCAAGCUAUGCUGAACAUAUGCUUUGGAAACUAACCUCCUCUCCAGCUAGAGAGAGAUGAAAUUAGUUCCAUGCUCAAGAGUUCUCAGAGCAGCACCAAAAGCAUUGCCUUAGUUAAUUUAACUACCAUCUUCAUUAUAAAAAACAGUAGGUUUAAUAGAGAUUUUAUCAAUUGUGGACUUCUACUCUGCACCCAGAGCGAAAUUUAGUCUUGCAAUUAUGAAAAGAAGUUAAGCGGUUCUCAUUUUAUAACUUGAAACUAACUUAGUCUAUCUCGAAAAAGCAACCCAUUACUCGGUUUUUAAAUUUCAGAUUUUUUUUUUUUUAAAUAGUAUGAUGUUGCUAACACACCAUUCUAUUUCUUUCCCAGCAAUUUUCAUACUUUUUUCAACACACCAGUUCAGCAAUUAUACAUUUCAGAUGAAUCUUUUUCUUAGCAGCUGUACCAUAUGUAAGACACCUAAGAUGCAGCAUGUGCUUUUUGGAUAUUUUGUCAGGCUCCUGCAUUGUCCAGGUUUUUAAUGCAUAACUUCUUGCUUUCAGCAACUCAUCUGCUUCCUACUUUUGUGACCACAGGAUGUCU
rnacentral:lncRNA from 1 species